UGCCGGAUCGUCUAAUGGUAGGACACCAGGUUUUGGUCCUGGCGAUCUAGGUUCGAAUCCUAGUCCGGCAG
rnacentral:tRNA from 2 species